AUAAUUAUAUUAUAAGUCUUUUAAUUAUUCAUAUUUUUAUAAAAAUAAUUUAAUUUUUAGUAUCUUUUAUAGAAUUAAUUAUCAUAAUUAUAGUAUAAUAUACCGUAAGGGAUAGAUUUUUUUUAAAAAAAAGUAAUCUUUUUUUGAUGUACCUUUUGUAUCAGGGUUAAUUAAUUUAAUUUUUAAAUAAUAUUUUCCCGAAAAUAAAUGAAAUACUAUUUUAUGUUUUUUAAUGUUAUAAAAUUAUUUAUAAUAAAAUAGUAGAGGUGAUAUACUAUUCAUAUUUAUAUAUCUGGUUUUUUAAGAAAUGAAUUUAAUUCAGGUAUCAUUUAAUUUAUCACAUUAAAUUGGGAUGAUUGAUAUUAAUAUUCUUGGGGAUUAGCUCAAGUUUAUUUUUAAAAUAAACAUAUAUUUAGGGAAUGUAGGCUUAGAAUCAGCCAUCAUUUAAGUCGUUAUAGAUACUCCUAAUAUUAUUAUUGAUUUAAUAUUUAUUUAAAUUAGUAUUAAAAUUUAAUAAUGAAUAAAAUCUUUUUAGUAACAAUGAUUAAAUAAGUAUAAUUUUUAUAUAUUUUGUAGGAACUCGGCAAAUUUAAUUUUCGCCUGUUUAACAAAAACAUGUCCUUUAGGUUUUAUUAAAGGUCUAACCUGCCCAAUGACUUUAUAUGAAUGGCCGCGGUAUUUUGACCGUGCUAAGGUAGCAUAAUCAUUUGUCUUUUAAUUAAAGACUAGCAUGAAUGGUUGGACGAAAUAAUAACUUUCUUCAUCAUAAACUUUGAAUUUAAUUUUUUAGUCAAAAAGCUAAAAUUGCCUUGUAGGACGAGAAGACCCUAUAGAACUUUACUUAUAUUCUCAAUCACUUAAUUUUUUUUAUUACUUAAGUGAUUGAGGGAUUAAGUUAUGUUGGGGUGACAUAGAAAUUGUUUUAACUUUCUAAUUUAUUUUCAUUAUUUUAUGAUUUUCUUGAUCCAAUUUUAUUGAUUAAAAGUUUAAGUUACCUUAGGGAUAACAGCGUAAUUCUUUUGGAGAGUUCAUAUCGAUAAAGGAGUUUGCGACCUCGAUGUUGGAUUAAAAUAAGUAAUAGGAGUAGCAAUUUAUUUACUAGGUCUGUUCGACCUUUAAUUUUUUACAUGAUCUGAGUUCAGACCGGCGUGAGCCAGGUUGGUUUCUAUCCUCAAUUUUAUUUAAUGCUUUAGUACGAAAGGGCCAAGUAUUACAAUUAUAUUUGUUAUAGUUUGAAUAAAAAU
rnacentral:rRNA from 1 species